AAUGAACGCUGGCGGCGCGCCUAAUACAUGCAAGUCGAGCGAGAAGACGUAGCAAUACGUUUGUAAAGCGGCGAACGGGUGAGGAAUACAUGGGUAACCUACCCUCGAGUGGGGAAUAACUAGCCGAAAGGUUAGCUAAUACCGCGUACGCUCCUUGGACUUCGGUUCAGGGAGGAAAGCGAUACCGUGGGUAUCGCGCUCUUGGUUGGGCUCAUGUCCUAUCAGCUUGUUGGUGAGGAACGGCUCACCAAGGCUUCGACGGGUAGCUGGUCUGAGAGGACGAUCAGCCACACUGGCACUGCGACACGGGCCAGACUCCUACGGGAGGCAGCAGUAAGGAAUAUUGCGCAAUGGGCGAAAGCCUGACGCAGCGACGCCGCGUGGGGGAUG
rnacentral:rRNA from 1 species